rnacentral:rRNA from 1 species
UACGAAGGGGGCUAGCGUUGUUCGGAAUCACUGGGCGUAAAGGGCGUGUAGGCGGUCAGGUAAGUGGAAUGUGAAAGCCCUCGGCUCACCCGAGGAUCUGCAUUCCAAACUGCCUGGCUUGAGUAUGGGAGAGGAUGAGGGAAUUCCUGGUGUAGCGGUGAAAUGCGUAGAUAUCAGGAGGAACACCGGUGGCGAAGGCGCUCAUCUGGCCCAAUACUGACGCUGAGGCGCGAAAGCUAGGGGAGCAAACGGG